AUUGAACGCUGGCGGAAUGCUUUACACAAGCAAGUCGAACGGCAGCACGGACUUCGGUCUGGUGGCGAGUGGCGAACGGGUGAGUAACAUAUCGGAACGUAUCCAAUAAUGGGGGAUAACGAGUCGAAAGAUUCGCUAAUACCGCAUACGCCCUACGGGGGAAAGCUGGGGACCUUCGGGCCUGGCGUUAAUGGAGCGGACGAUAUCUGAUUAGCUAGUUGGUGAGGUAAAGGCUCACCAAGGCGACGAUCAGUAGCUGGUCUGAGAGGACGACCAGCCACACUGGAACUGAGACACGGUCCAGACUCCUACGGGAGGCAGCAGUGGGGAAUUUUGGACAAUGGGCGCAAGCCUGAUCCAGCCAUUCCGCGUGAGUGAAGAAGGCCUUCGGGUUGUAAAGCUCUUUCGCAAGGGAAGAAAACUUAGCCACUAACAUUGGUUGAGGUUGACGGUACCUUGAUAAGAAGCACCGGCUAACUACGUGCCAGCAGCCGCCGUAA
rnacentral:rRNA from 1 species